rnacentral:rRNA from 1 species
CCUACGGGAGGCAGCAGUGAGGAAUCUUGCGCAAUGGGGGAAACCCUGACGCAGCCACGCCGCGUGGAGGACGACACCCCUCUGGGGCGUAAACUCCUUUUCUGCGGGAAGAAGGUCCCCCUCGGGGGGAGGUGACGGUACCGCAGGAAUAAGCACCGGCUAACUCCGUGCCAGCAGCCGCGGUAAUACGGAGGGUGCAAGCGUUGUCCGGAUUUAUUGGGUGUAAAGGGUGUGUAGGCGGACCCGUAAGUCAGGGGUGAAAGGCCGCAGCUUAACUGCGGGAUUGCCUUUGAUACUGCGGGUCUUGAGUGUCGGAGGGGCCACCAGAAUUCGUGGUGUAGCGGUGAAAUGCGUAGAUAUCACGAGGAAUACCAGAGGCGUAGGCGGGUGGCUGGACGACAACUGACGCUGAGGCACGAAAGCGUGGGGAGCGAACAGGA